rnacentral:tRNA from 1 species
AGGUAAAUAGCUCAGUAGUAGAGCUCAUGCUUAGCAUUCAUGAGGUCCUGGGUUCAAUCCCCAGAACCUC